rnacentral:rRNA from 1 species
CUGAACGCUGGCGGCAGGCCUAACACAUGCAAGUCGAGCGGAUGAAGGGAGAUUGCUCCUGGAUUCAGCGGCGGACGGGUGAGUAAUGCCUAGGAAUCUGCCUGGUAGUGGGGGACAACGUUUCGAAAGGAACGCUAAUACCGCAUACGUCCUACGGGAGAAAGCAUGGGACCUUCGGGCCUUGCGCUAUCAGAUGAGCCUAGGUCGGGUUAGCUAGUUGGUGAGGUAAUGGCUCACCAAGGCGACGAGCCGUAACUGGGCUGAGAGGAUGAUCAGUCACACUGGAACUGAGACACGGACCAGACUCCUACGGGAGGCAGCAGUGGGGAAUAUUGGACAAUGGGCGAAAGCAUGAUCCAGCCAUGCCGCGUGUGUGAAGGAGGUCUUCGGAUUGUAAAGCACUUUAAUUUGGGAGGAAGGGUUGUAGAUUAAUACCCUGCAAUUUUGACGUUACCGACAGAAUAAGCACCGGCUAACUCUGUGCCAGCAGCCGCCGUAAAAC